UACGUAGGGUCCGAGCGUUGUCCGGAAUUACUGGGCGUAAAGAGCUCGUAGGUGGUUUGUCGCGUUGUUCGUGAAAACUCACAGCUCAACUGUGGGCGUGCGGGCGAUACGGGCAGACUAGAGUACUGCAGGGGAGACUGGAAUUCCUGGUGUAGCGGUGGAAUGCGCAGAUAUCAGGAGGAACACCGGUGGCGAAGGCGGGUCUCUGGGCGAGUAACUGACGCUGGAGGAGCGGAAAAGCGUCGGGGAGCGAACAGG
rnacentral:rRNA from 1 species